rnacentral:rRNA from 1 species
UACGGAGGGAGCGAGCGUUAAUCGGAAUUACUGGGCGUAAAGCGCACGGAGGCGGUUGGGUAAGACGGAUGUGAAAGCCCUGGGCUUAACCUGGGAACUGCAUUCGAUACUGCCCGGCUAGAGUAUGGGAGAGGGAAGCGGAAUUUCAGGUGUAGCGGUGAAAUGCGUAGAUAUCGGAAGGAACACCAAUGGCGAAGGCAGCUUCCUGGCCCAAUACUGACCCUCAGGUGGGAAAGCGUGGGGAUCACACAGG